GGAAGUAAAAGUCGUAACAAGGUCUCCGUUGGUGAACCAGCGGAGGGAUCAUUACAGAGUUAUCCAACUCCCAAACCCAUGUGAACUUAUCUCUUUGUUGCCUCGGCGCAAGCUACCCGGGACCUCGCGCCCCGGGCGGCCCGCCGGCGGACAAACCAAAACUCUUGUUAUCUUAGUUGAUUAUCUGAGUGUCUUAUUUAAUAAGUCAAAACUUUCAACAACGGAUCUCUUGGUUCUGGCAUCGAUGAAGAACGCAGCGAAAUGCGAUAAGUAAUGUGAAUUGCAGAAUUCAGUGAAUCAUCGAAUCUUUGAACGCACAUUGCGCCCAUUAGUAUUCUAGUGGGCAUGCCUGUUCGAGCGUCAUUUCAACCCCUAAGCACAGCUUAUUGUUGGGAACCUACGGCUUCGUAGUUCCUCAAAGACAUUGGCGGAGUGGCAGUGGUCCUCUGAGCGUAGUAAUCUUUUAUCUCGCUUCUGUUAGGUGCUGCCCCCCCGGCCGUAAAACCCCCAAUUUUUUCUGGUUGACCUCGGAUCAGGUAGGAAUACCCGCUGAACUUAAGCAUAUCAAUAAGCGGAGGAA
rnacentral:rRNA from 1 species